UAAAUGCAAUAGCUAAUACAAUCGAUACUGUAACAUAACAUUUCAGCGCCUCACGCGUACCAUAUUAUUGUUUAUUACUUAUAAUUUGUUUUUACACAGAGCAGUUUUCAAUUGAUAUAUAUUUAUAUAUUAUGUAAGCAGGCGAGCGCUACGAACACAAUAAAAUAUUGCUGGUCGAUAUGCAUUGUUAAUAUUAUUAUACCUGGUGAUACUUGUAUGUUGAUAGUGUCGUAAUAUUUAUAUUGCUUCCCCCACGGCGGAGAUAUUGUUAAUAUAUAGACGGACGUGAGACAGAAGUACUUCUUUACUUUAUACUGUAAUUAAUUUUUAAAUUAUAAUUUUUCUAUUGUAAAUUGCAUUGUUUAAUUUUGCUCAGGGUAGGUUAGAUUGUAGAUUUAUGUUUUAAGAAGUAUAUGGACAUCGUAUCAUGGAAGUCUUGCGCCUUAAUUCAGGUUGCAAAUGGAGUGAUAUUAUGAAAAAGAUACCAGACUAUUGAUGCAAAACUGAAAUAUGAAGUUACGACACUAGUUGUACACUGGAAUGCGCAAUGGGAUUUGUGGUAAUUUCCGGAUAAGACAUCAUGGAGACCGUGUAAAUGUUUGUAUAUUUACAAAUUGCUUGUUAUAUUUAAGAAUGAAUAAAUUUACAUGAAUAUUUAA